rnacentral:lncRNA from 1 species
GCAAUAAAAUCAGUUAUAUUGUAAAUUGCAAACCCAAAGGUCUUUGUCUUGAAAUUCAUACCGUGAAGGGCAACCAGAAAAGUGAGUCAAAAAUGAAAUUAGCAUCCCCAUUGAUUGAUACAGGGGCUUAAUUCUAAAAAUAUUCACUGCACGAACCAAACAUGUAUAGAUGUUAUAUACACCUACACGCAAACAUAUGUAUAUAUGUAUUUUGCGUGUCCAUGCAUUACAUUCUAAUAAUUCAAUGUUCUUAAAAUUUCACUCUUUUAAAUAUUUGAGUUUUAUUAUUAUUUGAAAAGAAAAUAAAAUUGCAAGAGGGGAGUGUUGGGCCCAUUUAAAUUAGAUGUAGUGAAUUUAUCAACAUUACGUGGGACGUAGCAUCCCUACUUCAAUUAUAUCUACAUAUACAAAAGGUAGUAUAAAUUCCAGUUUCCAAUUUAUUUACAAUUUAUAUUAAUUCCUCAUUCGCCACUUUUUUUUUUUUUUUUAAAUUAAUAAUAAUUGUAAUCAAUUUUUUCUCAUGAAAUUAAGGGAACCUAUUUGAAGUUUUC